CAGACCCGAAACCGGGUGACCUAUCCCUGAUCAGGUUGAAGUGGAGGUAAAGCUCCAUGGAGGACCGAACCAGACGUCUGUUGAAAAAGGCGGGGAUGACUUGUGGAUAGGGGAGAAAUUCCAAUCGAACCCGGAGAUAGCUGGUUCUCCUCGAAAUAGCUUUAGGGCUAGCCUCAUGGAUCAUUGAUGGGGGUAGAGCACUGAAUGUGCGCGGGGGCCACAAAGCCUACCAAACGCUAUCAAACUACGAAUACCAUACAAUGCAGACCAUGGGAGUCAGUCCGCGAGAGAUAAGUUCCGCGGGCAAAAGGGGAACACCCCAGAUCAACCGCUAAGGUCCCCAAGUUCACGUUAAGUGGAGAAGGAUGUGGAAUUGCACAGACAACCAGGAUGUUGGCUCAGAAGCAGCCACACAUUUAAAGAGUGCGUAAUAGCUCACUGGUCGAGUGAUUGUGCGCCGAAGAUGUCCGGGGCUAAACGUGACACCGAAGCGAUGGGUGCGUCUGAAGAAGAUGCGCGGUAGAGGAGCAAUGUGCAGAGGCAGAAGCCGUAUCGAGAGGCACGGUGGACACUGCACAAGAGAGAAUGCCGGUAUGAGUAGCGAGAGGCAUGCGAGAAACAUGCCCGUCGAAAGCCCAAGGUUUCCUGGGGAAGGUUCAUCCGCCCAGGGUAAGUCGGGGCCUAAGCCGAGGACGGAAGUCGUAGGCGAUGGACAGCAGGUGUAGAUUCCUGCACUACCGAUGGAAUGAAGCAGUGACACAGAAGGAUAACUCGAGCAGGGUGAUGGUCAACCCUGUGCAAGCAUCAAGGUUGGGUUGUAGUGAAGUACGCAACCCUAUAAGCUGAGAUGUGAUGCGGACCGAAAUUUCAGUAGGGAAGCGAGUGAGUUCACGCUGGCGAGAAAAGCUGCUAGUACAUCCAAAGGUACCCGUACCGGAAACCGACGCAGGUGGGCGAGGAGAGAAUCCUGAGACGAACGGGAGAACCCUUGUUAAGGAACUCGGCAAAAUGACCCCGUAACUUCGGGAUAAGGGGUGCCUGCGAGAGCAGGCCGCAGAGAAUAGUCACAAGCGACUGUUUAGCAAAAACACAGGUAUCUGCGAAAGCGAGAGCUGACGUAUAGGUGCUGACACCUGCCCGGUGCUGGAAGGUUAAGGGAACAUGUUAGAGCAAUCGAAGCAUCGAACCGAAGCCCCAGUAAACGGCGGCCGUAACUAUAACGGUCCUAAGGUAGCGAAAUUCCUUGUCGGGUAAGUUCCGACCCGCACGAAUGGUGUAACGACUUGUGAGCUGUCUCAACAGGGGGCCCGGUGAAAUUGAAGUAUGGGUGAAGAUGCCCAUUACCCGCGACUGGACGGAGAGACCCCGUAGAGCUUUACUGCAGCCUGAUAUUGAGUUUCGGUAACUGAUGCACAGGAUAGGUGGGAGUCUGAGAGACACGGGUUUCGGCUCGUGUGGAGACGCUGUUGGGAUACCACUCUUCGGUUACUGAAAUUCUAACAUAGCUCUGUGAAACCAGAGGAUGGACAGUGUCAGGUGGACAGUUUGACUGGGGCGGUCGCCUCCGAAAGAGUAACGGAGGCGCCCAAAGGUACCCUCAGAAUGGAUGGAAACCAUUCGAAGAGCGCAAAGGCAGAAGGGUGCCUGACUGCGAGAGUGACAACUCGAUCAGAGACGAAAGUCGGGCUUAGUGAUCCGGCGGUAUUGAGUGGAAAAGCCGUCGCUUAACGGAUAAAAGCUACCUCGGGGAUAACAGGCUGAUCUCCCCCAAGAGUCCACAUCGACGGGGAGGUUUGGCACCUCGAUGUCGGCUCGUCGCAUCCUGGGGCUGAAGCAGGUCCCAAGGGUUUGGCUGUUCGCCAAUUAAAGCGGCACGCGAGCUGGGUUCAGAACGUCGUGAGACAGUUCGGUCCCUAUCCAUCGUGGGCGUAGGAGUCAUGAAGGGAGCUGUUCCUAGUACGAGAGGACCGGAAUGGACGCACCACUGGUGCAACUGUUGUCGUGCCAACGGCAUAGCAGGGAAGCGAAGUGCGGAUGGGAUAAACGCUGAAGGCAUCUAAGCGUGAAGCCC
rnacentral:rRNA from 1 species